rnacentral:rRNA from 1 species
GAUGAACGCUGGCGGCGUGCCUAAUACAUGCAAGUCGAGCGAACAGACGAGGAGCUUGCUCCUCUGACGUUAGCGGCGGACGGGUGAGUAACACGUGGAUAACCUACCUAUAAUACUGGGAUAACUUCGGGAAACCGGAGCUAAUACCGGAUAAUAUAUUGAACCGCAUGGUUCAAUAGUGAAAGACGGUUUUGCUGUCACUUAUAGAUGGAUCCGCGCCGCAUUAGCUAGUUGGUAAGGUAACGGCUUACCAAGGCAACGAUGCGUAGCCGACCUGAGAGGGUGAUCGGCCACACUGGAACUGAGACACGGUCCAGACUCCUACGGGAGGCAGCAGUAGGGAAUCUUCCGCAAUGGGCGAAAGCCUGACGGAGCAACGCCGCGUGAGUGAUGAAGGUCUUCGGAUCGUAAAACUCUGUUAUUAGGGAAGAACAAAUGUGUAAGUAACUAUGCACGUCUUGACGGUACCUAAUCAGAAAGCCACGGCUAGCUACGUG